AUCACAGCCAUGACAGCCGUGGAGAGGGAGAAAGAAGACUGAUAGCAGAACAGGAGAUAUGGAGGAUCAGCCCAGUGCCUCUGAAACAGAUGCACUGGAUUAUGGUGAAGUCCUCUCCAUAUUCAACUCCAAUCCACUCGGUCUGCGCCUUGGGGUGUAGCUGCCAGCGUCUCCAUCCCAAACUGUCCAUGGUUUUCUUGUCCUCUGCCAGCUCCUGUAGAAACUUUCCCAAAACACGCACUGAUGCAAAUUGAUCAACAUGGAUGAAAGAGUUGGGUGGAGCCACAUCUUUGUAAUCACUGAUCGGUGGCCCCAAGACGACAGGUACUGCCCCGCUUUGGUAAGCAUUCCUCCACAGCUUCUCUGUGAUAUAAUCUUUAGCAAUUGAAUUCUCAAAGGCUAAAUAGAAGUAGCACUGAGAGAUUGUGGGUAAGAGUGUUUCAUC